rnacentral:tRNA from 1 species
UAGGGUAAUAGUUUAUAAUAAAAUUUUUGAGUUGCAUUCAAAAGAUGUUAAAAAUUAACUUAUCUU